rnacentral:rRNA from 1 species
AACGAACGCUGGCGGCAGGCCUAACACAUGCAAGUCGAGCGAAGCCUUCGGGCUUAGCGGCGGACGGGUGAGUAACGCGUGGGAACGUGCCCUUUGGUACGGAAUAGCCCCGGGAAACUGGGAGUAAUACCGUAUGUGCCCUUCGGGGGAAAGAUUUAUCGCCAAAGGAUCGGCCCGCGUUGGUUUAGGUAGUUGGCGGGGUAAUGGCCUACCAAGCCGACGAUCCAUAGCUGGUUUGAGAGGAUGAUCAGCCACACUGGGACUGAGACACGGCCCAGACUCCUACGGGAGGCAGCAGUGGGGAAUCUUAGACAAUGGGGGAAACCCUGAUCUAGCCAUGCCGCGUGAUCGAUGAAGGCCUUAGGGUUGUAAAGAUCUUUCAGUGGGGAAGAUAAUGACUGUACCCACAGAAGAAGCCCCGGCUAACUCCGUGCCAGCCGCCGCCGUAACAC